GGAGUUAUGAAAUGUAAGUGCGCUAAUAUCGUGCUUAUUUGACAAAGGCUCCAAAGGAAACCACGGCUAACUCUGUGCCAGCAGCCGCGGUAAUACAGAGGUGGCGAGCGUUGUUCGGAAUUAUUGGGCGUAAAGAGCACGUAGGUGGGUUUGUAAGUCAGAUGUGAAAGCCUUCUGUUCAACGGAAGAAUUGCAUCUGAAACUGCUAAUCUUGAGUAUAGGAGGGGAGAGUGGAAC
rnacentral:rRNA from 1 species